rnacentral:tRNA from 1 species
GGCCUGGUAGCCAAGGGGUAAGGCAUGGAUCUGCAAAAUCCAUAUACGUGGGUUCGAGUCCCACCCAGGCCU